AUUGAACGCUGGCGGCAUGCCUUACACAUGCAAGUCGAACGGUAACGCGGGGCAAACUGGCGACGAGUGGCGAACGGGUGAGUAAUGCAUCGGAACGUGCCCAGUAGUGGGGGAUAGCGCGGCGAAAGCCGGAUUAAUACCGCAUACGACAUACGGGUGAAAGGGGGGGAUCGCAAGACCUCUCGCUAUUGGAGCGGCCGAUGUCAGAUUAGGUAGUUGGUGGGGUAAAGGCCUACCAAGCCGACGAUCUGUAGCUGGUCUGAGAGCACGAACAGCCACACUGGGACUGAGACACGGCCCAGACUCCUACGGGAGGCAGCAGUGGGGAAUUUUGGACAAUGGGCGCAAGCCUGAUCCAGCCAUGCCGCGUGCGGGAAGAAGGCCUUCGGGUUGUAAACCGCUUUUGUCAGGGAAGAAAUCUUCUGGGUUAAUACCUCGGGAGGAUGACGGUACCUGAAGAAUAAGCACCGGCUAACUACGUGCCAGCCGCCGCGGUAACAC
rnacentral:rRNA from 1 species